rnacentral:rRNA from 1 species
ACGGAAGGCAGCAGUGGGGAGUAUUGCACAAUGGGCGCAAGCCUGAUGCAGCAACGCCGCGUGAGGGAAGACGGUCUUCGGAUUGUAAACCUUUGUCUUUGGUGAAGAAGAAAGUGACGGUAGCCAAGGAGGAAGCCACGGCUAACUACGUGCCAGCAGCCGCGGUAAUACGUAGGUGGCAAGCGUUGUCCGGAAUUACUGGGUGUAAAGGGAGCGCAGGCGGGACAGCAAGUUGGAUGUGAAAUACCGAGGCUUAACCACGGAGCUGCAUCCAAAACUGUUGUUCUUGAGUGAAGUAGAGGUAGGCGGAAUUCCGAGUGUAGCGGUGAAAUGCGUAGAUAUUCGGAGGAACACCAGUGGCGAAGGCGGCUUACUGGGCUUUAACUGACGCUGAGGCUCGAAAGUGUGGGGAGCAAACAGGAUUAGAUACCCUGGUA